rnacentral:rRNA from 1 species
GAGUUUGAUCAUGGCUCAGAUUGAACGCUGGCGGCAUGCUUUACACAUGCAAGUCGAACGGCAGCGGGGGCUUCGGUCCGCCGGCGAGUGGCGAACGGGUGAGUAAUGCAUCGGAACGUACCCAGUCGUGGGGGAUAACGCAGCGAAAACUGUGCUAAUACCGCAUACGUCCUGAGGGAGAAAGCGGGGGACCUUCGGGCCUCGCGCGAUUGGAGCGGCCGAUGUCGGAUUAGCUAGUUGGUGGGGUAAAGGCUCACCAAGGCGACGAUCCGUAGCUGGUCUGAGAGGAUGAUCAGCCACACUGGGACUGAGACACGGCCCAGACUCCUACGGGAGGCAGCAGUGGGGAAUUUUGGACAAUGGGGGCAACCCUGAUCCAGCCAUGCCGCGUGAGUGAAGAAGGCCUUCGGGUUGUAAAGCUCUUUCAGUCGGGAAGAAACGGAGCGCUCUAACAUAGCGCUCUACUGACGGUACCGACAGAAGAAGCACCGGCUAACUACGUGCCAGCA